UACGGAGGAUUCGAGCGUCAUCCGGAUUUAUUGGGUUUAAAGGGAGCGUAGGCGGGUUGUUAAGUCAGUUGUGAAAGUUUGCGGCUCAACCGUAAAAUUGCAGUUGAUACUGGCAUCCUUGAGUACAGUAGAGGUAGGCGGAAUUCGUGGUGUAGCGGUGAAAUGCUUAGAUAUCACGAAGAACUCCGAUUGCGGAGGCAGCCUGCUGGACUGUAACUGACGCUGAUGCUCGAAAGUGUGGGUAUCAAACAGG
rnacentral:rRNA from 1 species